rnacentral:ncRNA from 1 species
GGUGGGGAUGACGUCAAGUCCGCAUGGCCCUUAUGGGCUGGGCCACACACGUGCUACAAUGGCAAUGACAAUGGGAAGCAAGGCUGUAAGGCGGAGCGAAUCCGGAAAGAUUGCCUCAGUUCGGAUUGUUCUCUGCAACUCGGGAACAUGAAGGUGAAAUCGCUAGUAAUCGCGGAUCAGCAUGCCGCGGUGAAUAUGUACCCGGGCCCUGUACACACCGCCCGUCACACCCUGGGAAUUGGUUUCGCCCGAAGCAUCGGACCAAUGAUCACCCAUGACUUCUGUGUACCACUAG